AUAGUAGUUUAGGGUCAUAAAUAUAUAUAUAGAAAGAGAGUGUUUAAGCUGUAAUACUAUCGAUAGUAAGCGAAUUUUGUUGUUACUCAUUUAUUUUCGAUGAUGAAGUCCCCAAAUUAAUGAUCAGUAUCAUUGAACAUGAUCUAUACUACCUGAAAUAUUUAGAAAUCAAAAUUUUAUAUUUUUUUCGAUAUUAUUCUCUUAUAUAUCAAGUAGACAAAAAAAUAAACGGUUAAAAAUAAAUAUUCUUUAAAAAGUAAUGAUAGGAAUUUUGUAAUCAAGAUCGAGAGUGUAGAUGGUGUUUUAGAUAGUUUAAAAAAUUUUAUAACUAAAAAUUCAAUUAAUUUGUAUAUCUUUAUGCUAUUAAACAAGAAAAAGUCUUAUAUCGAUCAUUAAAAUUAUAAAUUUUGAAACACUUUGAUCAUUAGGCCAAUAAUUUUGAAAAAAUUUAAAAUUUGAUUUCUAAAUAUUUCAAGUAAUAUUAGAUCAUAUUUAACAAUGCCAAUCAUUAAUUUGGAGGCACCAUCAUCGAAAAAAAUGGAUGACAAAAGAAUCUA
rnacentral:lncRNA from 1 species